rnacentral:rRNA from 1 species
UAGGGAAUCUUCCACAAUGGACGCAAGUCUGAUGGAGCAACGCCGCGUGAGUGAAGAAGGCUUUCGGGUCGUAAAACUCUGUUAUUGAAGAAGAACGUGUGUGACAGUAACUGGUCAUGCAGUGACGGUAUUCAAUCAGAAAGUCACGGCUAACUACGUGCCAGCAGCCGCGGUAAUACGUAGGUGGCAAGCGUUGUCCGGAUUUAUUGGGCGUAAAGCGAGUGCAGGCGGUCUUUUAAGUCUGAUGUGAAAGCCUUCGGCUUAACCGAAGAAGGGCAUC